rnacentral:rRNA from 1 species
CCGAUAGCGGAUAGUACCGUGAGGGAAUGGUGAAAAGUACCGCGGGAGCGGAGUGAAAUAGUACCUGAAACCGUGUGCCUACAAGCCGUGGGAGCGUCGGAUACAGCUUGCUGUAUCUCGUGACUGCGUGCCUUUUGAAGAAUGAGCCUGCGAGUUAGCGGUGUGUAGCGAGGUUAACCCGUGUGGGGAAGCCGUAGCGAAAGCGAGUCCGAAUAG